AGUGAACGCUGGCGGUAGGCCUAACACAUGCAAGUCGAACGGCAGCACAGUAAGAGCUUGCUCUUACGGGUGGCGAGUGGCGGACGGGUGAGGAAUACAUCGGAAUCUACUUUUUCGUGGGGGAUAACGUAGGGAAACUUACGCUAAUACCGCAUACGACCUACGGGUGAAAGCAGGGGAUCUUCGGACCUUGCGCGAUUGAAUGAGCCGAUGUCGGAUUAGCUAGUUGGCGGGGUAAAGGCCCACCAAGGCGACGAUCCGUAGCUGGUCUGAGAGGAUGAUCAGCCACCCUGGAACUGAGACACGGUCCAGACUCCUACGGGAGGCAGCAGUGGGGAAUAUUGGACAAAGGGCGCAAGCCUGAUCCAGCCAUACCGCGUGGGUGAAGAAGGCCUUCGGGUUGUAAAGCCCUUUUGUUGGGAAAGAAAAGCAGCAGGUUAAUACCCCGCUGUUCUGACGGUACCCAAAGAAUAAGCACCGGCUAACUUCGUG
rnacentral:rRNA from 1 species